UUAUAAACUUUUUACAAAUCUCACCCUUUUCUUCCGUACUAUCUUUCUCUUGAUACUUCCGUCUUGACCAGAUAUCCCUGAUCAAGAUGCGAGCAAAGUGGAGGAAGAAGCGCAUGAGGAGGUUAAAGCGCAAGAGGAGAAAGAUGAGGGCAAGGUCAAAGUAGACAGCCCCCCCCCCUUCACGUCACAAGUGUAAAUCAGGAACAUGAAAGGACUUGGUGUGUAAGCCAUACGACCAUUAUUGACCCAUUUAAAACUGAAGGAGAGAGAGAGAAGAAAGGAGGAAGAAGUUAAUGUAAAGCGUGUCCAGUCCAUGGUUCAGGCUUUACAUGUCGUGUGGCAUUUCACUCUGGGGGCAGCGGAAAUUUUUCAUUUACCCUCAUCUUCAUAGACAUCAUCAUCAUAUCUUUUUACUGGACACCCAGGGAGAUUGUGAAAUUGACCGCUGAGUGUUCUUUAAUUAGGAUACCAAUGCUGUCACUGCUGAAACCAUUGGUCAGAAGCAGCCAUUUCUGUUCUUGAUUUGUAUUUGAGUAAUUAAAAAAAACAGUAAAAAUGUA